rnacentral:tmRNA from 1 species
GGGGGUGACUGGCUUCGACGGGGUUGGUGAAGCUGUGGCAGCGUGCCGAGGAUCUCGAGAGCCUCGCUAAUAACUCGGGAAAACUCCAAACGCCAACAACAACCUGGCGCUCGCCGCGUAAGCUCUUGUAGCUAACGUAGGCGUCUGCCCGACAAGAAGCCCGCCCGGGGCGGCUUGACGGGUAUCGAAAAUCUGGGCUAGCCUGCCGAUGUGUCGUCGGUUGGUGGGCGAAAACUUAGACGGCUUGUUUGGACGUUGGCUUUCUGAUGGCCGGCGGACGAAGACCUUGAUCAUCAGAAUACGCACGUAGACGCUGUGGUGGAUCUAGUUUCGGACAGGGGUUCGAUUCCCCUCACCUCCACUG